rnacentral:lncRNA from 1 species
CGUCACUCCCUUUCUGUAUGCCUGGUUUUCCCAUCUCUAAAUGGAUGGUUAUGGGUUUUACUGGUAUAAUCACACAGUGUCAACUGAGCACUCACUCUGCGCUGAAGGGGGGACCUCCUGUCACCCUCUGCCUCUGGGUAGUAAAGAACAGAGUGGGACUGAAGCUGCGUCGGGGAGGAUGCUGCAAUGUCACCUGCCAGACCAGGGCUUUUCAAGAGGAGAAAAGAGGCCCGUAGGGUGCACCCGAGACACAGUACCUUACAGGCACACUUCAAUGACUUAGGAGACAUGGUCACAUCAAUAAGCACUUUCAGUCAAUCAAAACUCACUUGCUGGUUGCUGUUUCCUAGAGUGUUGAGGAAUCUGCAG